CCUACGGGCGGCAGCAGUCGAGAAUCAUUCACAAUGGGGGAAACCCUGAUGGUGCGACGCCGCGUGGGGGAAUGAAGGUCUUCGGAUUGUAAACCCCUGUCAUGUGGGAGCAAAUUAAAAAGAUAGUACCACAAGAGGAAUAGACGGCUAACUCUGUGCCAGAAGCCGCGGUAAUACAGAGGUCUCAAGCGUUGUUCGGAAUCACUGGGCGUAAAGCGUGCGUAGGCUGUUUCGUAAGUCGUGUGUGAAAGGCGCGGGCUCAACCGGCGGACGACACAUGAAACUGGGAGACUAGAGUAAAGGAGGGGGGAGCGGAAUUCGCGGUGUAGCAGUGAAAUGCGUAGAUAUCGAGAAGAACACUCGUGGCGAAGGCAGGUUCCUGGACAUUAACUGACGCUGAGGCACGAAGGCCAGGGGAGCGAAAGGGAUUAGAUACCCCUGUAGUC
rnacentral:rRNA from 1 species